AAAGGAAUAUCCAAAUUUGGGCCUCUGGCCACUUUUUGCACCACCUGUCCUGUACGCCUGCAUUUUUUGCACAUUCCAGCCUGCAAUUUCAAUUUAUCAACCUGUAUAUCAUUGUUCUUUUGGGCCUUUUCGAAAUCUGAAAUUCGAUUUCCAACCCCUUUUUAUUUUCGUUUCCUGUUGGCUGACUCAAUAGAAGAUAGAAUUGGGCCUCUAGGGCCCAAUCAACGAAAUGCAAGAUCAAAGAGUGGAGACUCGGGAAGAGCCGGUUCAUACAUGGAAAAGAAUGAAACGAGAUAAAGAUUAAUAAUAGAGCAUACUUUAAAUCUAUAUAAUGCAACCAAGACACAUAAAAAUAGAAAUAAGGCAAAAAUACAUGUGCUUAGUUUACUAUACCAUGGUUUUAUAAGAAUGACAAAGGAAUACACACCAUUCUUAAGUAAUCUUCACUUAGAUUUAAUCUAACCUCACAUGACAAGAUAACACUAAAUGAAUGUGAUAAAUAAAUAAAAUAAAUUUACAUAUAAAAAAGAGGGGAGGGGGACAGUGAUCACAUGGAAAAAAACGGCAUGCACAAUUGGGAUUAGGAUCAUUUAAACUUUGAUCAUAAAAUAGCAAAAUAACAUAUAGUUACCAAAUAUCUAAGGAUAAAUGGGAUCUUAAGGCUUAAUUACUAGAACUAGACUUUAACGAAACAAGCCGUAACAAAUUGAGUCGAGUUCUAUACUGUUGAAUCAUUAUUCUCAGUAAUUAAAAUUGAAGUGAAACAAAACCUCACAACAGUAAGCAUAUUUAAGCUAAUUAAUCUAGAAAUAAGCAUGAACAAGUGAUUGAAAAUAAAAUCAUGUCAAAACAACACUCACACUAAAUACAAAGGAUGAAUUUUAACUCUUUAAGUUUAAGAGAAGCAAGGGAUAAAUUAGGUGACAAAUAUGAAAAUUAUAUAAACCUAUGAAACCAUGGCUAUUUAACCACACAGCCUACCGAGGACGUCACAAGUAACAAGAAAGCUAGCAAAAGAUACCAGAUAUUUAGGAAGUCUAACGCUUAAUCAACAAGAAGAAAAAAGAAUCGGAAAACCGAAGAGAACAAACCAAUGGUUCUUUACAGAGGUUUAUCACCAAUCACACACUGAUUUCCACAUCCUAAUCACAUAAAGAGGCCAAAGCAAACAUAUAUAUUGAAAUUACACUUUUCUUGUAAAACCAGUGGUCAAAGAUGUGUAGCAACUAACAUAUAAACAAGCAAGGCACUAAGCUAAAGAUCGGGGCCAAACAAGAAAUAGCCUGAAAGCACAAGAGAAAAACACUUCAAACUAAGUAAUACUUGAAACGAGCGUAAACAACGACUACUUCACUAGGCGAUGAGAUUCUACAUAGCACGAAACAAAAUCUAGAACGCAAAGAGAAGCUGUAACAAAAGGAGAAAAAAACAAAAGCAUUACCUUCUUAGGAGCAGCGGAACUGAGACGACGAGUUGAAAAGCUUUCCACCACCACAAUCAAAGAGCUUUCGAGAAGCUUUUUGAUCGAACAAGAUAGGAACCGGAGUUCGAAUCAGUUAUCUUCUCUACUUUGAAGUGUGUUUCGUAUGUAUUUUUAUAUAUUUUCCUUUAAGCUAUUUCUCUGUAUCAGUGGAAGCCCCCCCCAAAAAAAACCCUCUAAAACAGUAAAAGAGAUGGAUAUUUAUAAGAGGAAAAAUUGGAAUUCAAAAGGGGGGAAACCGGAUUCCAUUUCGAAUUUCAAAUUCGAAUUACUCUCAAAGGAUAAGGUCGAAC
rnacentral:lncRNA from 1 species